UCGACUUCAGCGGGAUCCCCAGAGGCAGGGGAAGUGCUUCGGUAGGGCGCUGCCAUUGGGAGACAAAAGUGUCAAGACACGUCUCAUCACAGAAAGAAAAGUAGAGAGAAGAAAGGAAGGAGGGAGAAGCCAUCCAUGCCAAGAAAUUCAACUUUAUUGAUUGGAUGAUUCUUGAAGACAAAAAGAAAAAGAAAAAUUAU
rnacentral:lncRNA from 1 species